CACAGGUGUGUUAACGUUUAACACAGGCGUGUUAACGUUUAACACAGGUGUGUUAACGUUUAACACAGGUGUGUUAACGUUUAACACAGGUGUGUUAACGUUUAACACAGGCGUGUUAACGUUUAACACAGGUGUGUUAACGUUUAACACAAGCGCUAUGUUAAAACUGUGUGUACAAUUAAGCAACGUGUGAAAUAUAUGACGCGAGUAAAUA